AACGAACGCUGGCGGCAUGCCUAACACAUGCAAGUCGAACGAGACCUUCGGGUCUAGUGGCGCACGGGUGCGUAACGCGUGGGAACCUGCCCUUAGGUUCGGAAUAACUCCCCGAAAGGGGUGCUAAUACCGGAUAAUGUCUUCGGACCAAAGAUUUAUCGCCUUUGGAUGGGCCCGCGUUGGAUUAGCUAGUUGGUAGGGUAAAAGCCUACCAAGGCGACGAUCCAUAGCUGGUCUGAGAGGAUGAUCAGCCACACUGGGACUGAGACACGGCCCAGACCCCUACGGGGGGAAGCAGUGGGGAAAUUUGGAAAAGGGGCGAAAGCCUGACCCAGCAAUGCCGGGUGGGUUAUGAAGGCUUUGGGGUUGUAAAGCUCUUUUACCCGGGAUGAAAAUGACAGUACCGGGAGAAAAAGCCCCGGCCAACCCCGU
rnacentral:rRNA from 1 species